AGAACUGCUUGGGGUCAUUGGAUCAGUUGCGAUCUACUCGGCGUUCCCCGACGCCGGAUAACCGUAGUAAUUCUAGGGCUAAUACGCGCGAAGCGCCCGAAGCCGCGAGGCGACGGGCGUGCUCGCCGGAUACGGAACCGACCCGGGGACCGCCGGGGCAACCCGGCGCCCCCGAGACGGGGCGAACCACGGUGAAACGACGGAUCGUCGGCCCCGCGCCGGCGACUCGCCGAACGAGUUUCUGACCUAUCAACUCGAGACGGCGGGGUAGAGGCCCGCCGCGGUAACGACGGGUAACGGGGAAUCAGGGUUCGAUUCCGGAGAGGGAGCCCGAGAAACGGCUACCACUUCCAAGGAAGGCAGCAGGCGCGCAACUUACCCUAAUCUCGAUUCGAGGAGGUAGUGACAAGAAAUACCGAUGCGGGACCCUACGGGUGCCGCGUUCGGAAUGAGUACGAUUCGAACCACCUAACGAGGAACGAUCGGAGGGCAAGUCUGGUGCCAGCAGCCGCGGUAAUUCCAGCUCCAAUAGCGUACGUUAAAGUUGCUGCAGUUAAAAAGCUCGUAGUUGAACGUCCGGGUUCCGUGGGACGGGGCCGCUCCGCAAGGGACGGCGCCGCCCCGGGGCCCGUGAGAUCCGAUCUCCCCGCCCGUCGCGAGGCGGACGGAGGGACGGAUGAGGUUACCUGGAAAAAAUCGGGGCGAUCUAGGCGGGCGAACCUCGCCAACGAACGAUCGGACACGGGAUAACGGAAGAGGGCGUCGGCUCGACUUCGUCGGUUCCUCGGGCCGAGGCACGUACGGUGAAUAGGGACGGUCGGGGCCGCCCGUACCGGGUCGCGAGAGGUGAAAUUCUAGGAUCGACCCGAGACGAACCGCCGCGAAAGCAUUCGGCAAGGACGCUUUCAUUAAUCAAGAACGAAAGUCGGGGGAUCGAAGACGAUCAGAUACCGUCGUAGUCCCGACCGUAAACGAUGCCGACCGAGGGCCUGGAGGAGUUACGUACGACCCUCCGGGCCCUCCCGCGAGAAAUCAGGAGUAUUCGGGUUCCGGGGGGAGUAUGGUCGCAAGGCCGAAACUUAAAGGAAUUGACGGAAGGGCACCACCAGGAGUGGAAUCUGCGGCUUAAUUUGACUCAACGCGGGAAAACUCACCAGGUCAGGACACGGUAAGGAUUGACGGACUGAAGGAUCUUUCUCGAUUCCGUGGAAAGUGGUGCAUGGCCGUUUUUGGUUGGUGGAUCGAUCCGUCUGGUUAAUUCCGUUAACGAACGAGACCUCGGCACUCCGAAUAGCGCGGCGGACGUCGCGGCCUCCGGGCCGUCUUCCGCGCGAGCUUCUUAGAGGGACCGUCCCCCGCCGGGGAAGGAGGUUCGAGGCAACGACAGGUCUGUGAUGCCCUUAGAUGUUCUGGGCCGCACGCGCAUUACACUGACGCGUCCAACGGGCGACUCCCGGCCCGAAGGGGUCGGGGAAUCCGCAAGGCGCGUCGUGAUGGGGAUUGAACGUUGCAAUUGUUGUUCACGAACGAGGAAUUCCUAGUAGGCGCGGGUCAUCAACCCGCGCCGAUUACGUCCCUGCCCUUUGUACACACCGCCCGUCGCUCCUACCGAUCGAACGGUCCGGUGAGGACCCAGGACGGCGCGGGACC
rnacentral:rRNA from 1 species